AAUCAACGCUGGCGGCGUGCCUAACACAUGCAAGUCGAACGCGAAAGGGGAGCAAUCCCUGAUUAGAGUGGCAAACGGGUGAGUAACACGUGGGUGACCUGCCUUCGAGUGGGGGAUAACCUUCCGAAAGGAGGGCUAAUACCGCAUGACAUACCGUGUUUGGAUACACGGAUAUCAAAGCCGGGGAUCGCAAGACCUGGCGCUUGGAGAGGGGCCCGCGUCCGAUUAGCUAGUUGGUGAGGUAAUGGCUCACCAAGGCUACGACGGGUAGGGGACCUGAGAGGGUGGCCCCCCACAAUGGAACUGAAACACGGUCCAUACACCUACGGGUGGCAGCAGUAGGGAAUAUUGCACAAUGGGCGAAAGCCUGAUGCAGCAACGCCGCGUGUGCGAUGAAGGCCUUCGGGUCGUAAAGCACUUUUCUGAGAGAUG
rnacentral:rRNA from 1 species